rnacentral:rRNA from 1 species
UUAGCGGAUGACUUGUGGCUGGGGGUGAAAGGCCAAUCAAACCGGGAGAUAGCUGGUUCUCCCCGAAAGCUAUUUAGGUAGCGCCUCGUGAAUUCAUCUCCGGGGGUAGAGCACUGUUUCGGCAAGGGGGUCAUCCCGACUUACCAACCCGAUGCAAACUGCGAAUACCGGAGAAUGUUAUCACGGGAGACACACGGCGGGUGCUAACGUCCGUCGUGAAGAGGGAAACAACCCAGACCGCCAGCUAAGGUCCCAAAGUCAUGGUUAAGUGGGAAACGAUGUGGGAAGGCCCAGACAGCCAGGAUGUUGGCUUAGAAGCAGCCAUCAUUUAAAGAAAGCGUAAUAGCUCACUGGUCGAGUCGGCCUGCGCGGAAGAUGUAACGGGGCUAAACCAUGCACCGAAGCUGCGGCAGCGACACUAUGUGUUGUUGGGUAGGGGAGCGUUCUGUAA